GGAGUUUGAUCCUGGCUCAGAUUGAACGCUGGCGGCAUGCUAAAAACAUGCAAGUCGAACGUGCCGCAAAGGGCAAGUGCGAAAAGGGUCAGUACCGCGAUCGAAUGUACCUAUGGGUUGAGGAUAGCCGUGGAAAACUGCGGGUAAUACUCGAUGAUGUCUCGGACCCAAAGAUUUAUCGCCCUAAGAGCAGCGAUCGUCCUAUCAGGUAGUUGGCGGGGUAAAGGCCCACCAAGCCUAAGACGGGUAGCAGGUGUGAGAGCACGACCUGCGACAUCGGGACUGAGACACUGCCCGGACUCCUACGGGAGGCUGCAGUAACGAAUCUUCCGCAAUGGGCGCAAGCCUGACGGAGCAAUGCCGCGUGUGGGAUGAAGCGGCUACGCCGUGUAAACCACUGUCAGGGACUAGAACCAAUGAUCAGUCCCAAAGGAAGAGCCGGCUAACCCUGUGCCAGCAGCCGCGGUAAUACAGGGGGCUCGAGCGUUAAUCGGAAUCACUGGGCUUAAAGGGUGCGUAGGUGGCUUGCCAAGCGUCCUGUGAAAUCCCACGGC
rnacentral:rRNA from 1 species